UGGCGAACGGGUGAGUAACGCGUGAGUAACCUGCCUUUCAGUGGGGGGACAACAGAGGGAAACUUCUGCUAAUACCGCAUAACGUGCCUUGGGGGCAUCCUGGGGUACCAAAGAUUUAUUGCUGAAAGAUGGGCUUGCGUCUGAUUAGAUAGUUGGCGGGGUAACGGCCCACCAAGUCGACGAUCAGUAGCCGGUCUGAGAGGAUGAACGGCCACAUUGGGACUGAGAUACGGCCCAGACUCCUACGGAAGGCAGCAG
rnacentral:rRNA from 1 species